CCCGUCUUCGGAUUGGGGUGCAUGGCAGACGGGUGAGUAACGCGUGGGGAAUCUACCUCUUUGUGGGGAAUAACGCUCCGAAAGGAGUGGUAAUACCGCAUGAGAUCCAAGACUGGGAUGUUUUGGAUGAAACCUGGGGACCUUAAAGGCCUGGGGCAAGGAGAGGAUCCUGCGUCUGAUUAGCUAGUUGGUGAGGUAAUGGCCCACCAAGGCGACGAUCAGUAGCCGGCCUGAGAGGGUGAUCGGCCACACUGGAACUGAGACACGGUCCAGACUCCUACGGGAGGCAGCAGUGGGGAAUUUUGCGCAAUGGGCGAAAGCCUGACGCAGCAACGCCGCGUGGGUGAUGAAGGUCUUCGGAUCGUAAAACCCUGUCGUCGGGGACGAAGGUGGGCGGGUUAAUAGCCUGUUUGCUUGACGGUACCCGGAGAGGAAGCCCCGGCUAACUCUGUGCCAGCAGCCGCGGUAAUACAGAGGGGGCAAGCGUUAUUCGGAAUUAUUGGGCGUAAAGGGCGCGUAGGCGGCUUUUUAAGUGAGAUGUGUAAUCCCUGAGCUCAACUUGGGAACUGCAUCUCAUACUGGGAGGCUAGAGUACUGGAGAGGGUGGUAGAAUUCCACGUGUAGCGGUGAAAUGCGU
rnacentral:rRNA from 1 species